rnacentral:misc_RNA from 1 species
AAAUGCGAUAAGUAAUGUGCAUUGCAGAAUUCAGUGAAUCAUCGAAUCUUUGAACGCACAUUGCGCCCGCCAGUAUUCUGGCGGGCAUGCCUGUUCGAGCGUCAUUUCAACCAUCAAGCCCCCGGCUUGUGUUGGGGACCUGCGGCUGCCCGCAGGCCCUGAAAAACAGUGGCGGGCUCGCUGUCACACCGAGCGUAGGAGCAUACAUUCUCGCUCAGGGCGUGCUGCGGGUUCCGGCCGUUAAACGACCUUCAUAACCCAAGGUUGACCUCGGAUCAGGUAGGAAGACCCGCUGAACUUAAGC